UGACACGGUGAAAUGUCGAUUUAAGGAGGUAACUGCACACUGUAAAUAGGCCAGAGAUUUUUAGUAACUGUGACGAUUACCACAAGGGAAAGCUAAACAAAUGUUAGGAGAUGGAAAAGUAAACCUGUGGGCACUGCUAGGUUGUGAAGAGGCUUUUGGCCAGGGUGGAUAAUAGGGGACAGGACAGGAUACAACAAAAUAUGUAUGUUAACAAACUCCAUUAGGCUUAUAAAAAACCUUUAAAAACAUGCUUCCUCCCCUUAGAAGCACAGAGAAGGCAAGUAGUCCCACUAUAGAAAACAAAAUGUUAUUUUUGAAUCUGAAAAUGAUUAAGUCAAAUAACAAAAAAAUGAAGUGAUUAGUGUUUAUCCCACUAAAAAGCUACCAUCAGAAAUACACAACUCACCCUAGAGUAUUAUACUUAUUUUCCAGCUUUUAUUUAUGUGCAGAAAAAAAGGCAUUAAGCCUUUCAUGUGAAAAAAUGUCCAGAAGUUAUGAAAGACAUGUCUGUGCUGUAAUGUAAAUGUUGAAAUACCUGAGUUAGCUUAAAACAAGAACUAGAACACUUUAGUGGUGAUAAACUGGCAGCUUAUCAGCAACAGUGGAUUUUCCCUCCUAUGUUUCUCAGUCAGAAACAACCAGGGAAGAUAGCUGGGUAUGGGCUUCUCAGAGUAGGACAGCUGAGACCUUUGCUGAAGUAGGUGAACUGCUCCAAGUAUCCCAGCUUGGUCCUUUGAAAGCAGCCUGGAUGUCUCCCUACUUGAGCAAAAAUUGCAGCAAUUUAGGAGGCACCAUGUCUUGGGAAAAAAAAAAAGGCCAUCAAACUGAAAUAGGAAAAAAAGCCAAGCAACCAAAGAAACUAAAAAUCCAGACCAAACCAAACCAAACAACCCCCAACCCAAAAACACACACAAAACUCCCCCAAAGUCCACUUCUUGCAACAACUGUACAUUUAAAGGAUGAGGAUCCAACACCCAUGAGCUAUUUAUGUGCCUUGCAAGGAUAUAAAAAGUUGCAAUAAUAAAUCAGAGAAAAAGUUUUGAAAGGGAUCGUUAUCACCGUAAUGGGUUGUGUUUAAAGGAUAAACCAGCCUUUCCUUUCUGAAGGCAGGAAGAAGCUUUUCAUGUUGGGGCAGCUCUUUCUGUGGUCACCUACUGAGUAGACUUUGCUGCACCUCAUACUAAGCUGCGACUGCCCGCAGUUGAAGACAGGAUACCAUGGUAUACCAACCACUGGUAUCUUUUAGUAUGGGAGCUUUUUUUUCCAUAAAGCUCAACCAGGAAACCUGAAAGAAGUGUGGUUUGGGGAGCUCAAGUUGAGGUAAGAGACAAGGUAGGUACUGCAGACGGAUUUUUCCAUUGCAUUAGUUCUGCAUUGAAAAUGUGUGCUAAGAUGUUUGGGUUUGUUUGGUUUUUGUUUGGGAUUUGUGUUUGUUCAGUUUUUUGUUCAGUUGGGUUUGGUUUUAAAAAUAUUUUCCAGUAUGUUACUGUCUUUUUGCUACCUAUAUAGUUUAUUUUUUAAUGAUAAUAAAGGAACUUUUUAUUAGUAGAUUGCUGUGCCAACCAUAGAAUUUUAAUAUACCUUCAAGAUAAGGCCCUGACAAGGUCCCAUGUAAAUCAGAUACAGCUGUUUCCUAAAUCCAGUCGUUCCUGCCUUGCUGAUUUCUAGUAAUUACCUCAUCUACAAGAAAUACUGUAUUCCUGUAUUGUGCUCCUGAGUAUACUGUUUCUAUUAGCUUGCCUACUGCUGAGAUAUCUCAGAGUUUUGGUUUAGGAUUCUUUGUUUGGGGUUUUUUAUAAUUUUUUUUUCAUUUGAGUAAGUCAUAUGGGUGUUGCACCUUGCAUCACCAGUAUUCCCAGUAGUUUAGGAAAGGUUUUGGUGUACACACUCCUUGCCUCCCUUGAGGUCUGCCUCUGGAUAUUUGAGAUGAGGGCUUGUUUACAUACUGUGGAGUUUUGUCAGUCAUAAGAUGGGAUGCCCAAAGUUGGCAUUCUGGCUGAUCAUAAUUUUUUCACAACCUUUCCUGAGAGAUGUAUAUCUGUUUUUGUCAUUUAGUCCCUGGAUUUUGGAGCAAUUACUCAAAGAAUUAAUGUAAUGUCAACAAAUUACCCCAGUCUCUCUCAGAGGCCUUUUGCCUCCAGAUGCAACAUAGUUCCAGAGGGUUUUUUUAAUGUCCGCAUCUCUGAAAAUGUGGGACUUAAUUUGUGUAUUUGUUCUAUGUCACUUAAGCCUGUUAUGAUUUUCAGGGUCAUCUUGCCCUAUUUCUGGUCCCAUUACAAUAAAACUCCUGAGAAUUAAUUUAUCUUAAGGUGUUUAAGUAUUUCUAUUGUGUUUCACAUUGUUUUAAUAACUUGAUGUGAAAAGGAAUCUACUUCCUGGAUAAAAUAUAGUUUAUUUCUCAGAUUCAGUGAUACGCUGCCUUCCCAUUGCAAAUAGAGGGUCUCUGUCAUGCUUUAAGGAAAACAUAAAUAUAUUUUCUGUAAAAACUCAUUUUGGUGUGGUUUGCUUUCUUCUCUGAGUAGAACAGAUCAAACCAUGCAGAAAUCAGACUGAAAGCCUGAUGGGGACAUAGUUCUGCUUGCAGUAGUAGUAACCUCUUGUCCCAUCAGCCACUUGAUUCUUUCACAUUAUGCACUCCAUGUCCCUUCUGUUCAUAUGGAAUGACUUUUUUCCUUCUCUUUUUCCUUGUAAACAUUUCUUUCCAAGAACAGUAUUGGCAUAAUAUCGAAAGUGAGAUAUACUGUGCAAUUUCAUGUGUGUGAACUUCACCUAAAUUUUCCAGAUUUUGUUUCAUAGCUUUUCUUUGACUUUACUCAUGUUCACAAUCAGUCCUAUACAAGGCUUUUGAAAAUAGUAGAAAAAUUCCUGACUCUAUUCAUGAUCAUUUUCCAUGCCUUUUGGAUUGCAGUGAUUGCUGUUUUCCAAACUGCACAGAUGAAGAAACGGCUUCUGUGAAUUGUCUUCCACUGAUUUUUCAUUGCAAAGAUGACCAAAGAAAUGCCAAAUGUUGAUAAAGGAGAACCUUUAGCAUUUUUGAAUGAACAUCAGUGCCAAGCUUAUCAUAAAAUCUGCCCUAAGUGUAGCUCUGAAAUCCAACCUGUUGAAGAUGCACAGCUACCAAGUCCUUGAGAUUUUUCAUUCCACUUAAAACAUUUCAGUACAACAGGAAAACAACUGAGAAGCUGCAUACCCAAUCUCAUCCACAUAAGGAAUGCUUGCGUUCAUGCCUUCUUAUAGUAAAGCUUUAGUUCCACAGAGGCGAAUACCCAGGAUAGAGUUUAGCAUUAUCCAGCUUCUUUCAAACCAUUAUUCCAAACUCGUGUGUAUAACUUCCCUUUUAAUGUUUAUGUGCACCCUUGUCUUCUCCCACUCUGGGUCAGGGAUAGCUCAGGAUGCACUCUGUUGCUACUUAAAAUGGAGAAAGAAACCACAGCACCAUCCUCACUGUCUCAGAUAUUAUUUGAUUGACUACAGAAGUGUAGGGUCAGUUAGGGAGAAUCAGUAACCCAGGCAGAGGAAUUUUUAACAUAAUUUUUUCCUUCUAUAAUGCUAUAAUUGAAUGAAGCUUGGAAAUGCAGAGAGAGAAAGACAAGAAUUAUAUAAAUAACUAAAGAAGUGAGGAGAGAAAAGGGAAAGAACACUUUAAAGAAUCGAAAGGGAAAAGGAAUCUAUGUGCAGUUUGAUUUUUAAGGGUCAUUCUUCUUGCUCUUCUUGAAAACUGGAACAAGUCCCUACCUGAUCAGCUGGAACUUAAAAUAAUAGCAAAAGGCUCUUUCUUUUUUAAGGCACUGUAAACAGCACUAUUAACAAGAGCAGGCUGAAUAUAAGCUGUGGAUGCUGCCUCAAUGAAAAGAAGAUAAAAGCAGAAAGACCCACGAGACAGACAAACUUAAGUAAGAAAUUAAUCACUGAGGGCAGCCAUAUCUAUCUAGCCAUGAACUGUCAAAACUUUGACUCUGUUAGCCCACUGACAAGCAUGGAAAGAAUUGCGAUGUGCACUGAAACUAACUCAGUGACUCAAUAGGCCAAAACAGCAGUGUGAAGAUGCUCCUCUAAGAUUGAGCACUUCAACAAGCUUGUACAAUAGCAACAGUUCUCAACAACAUUCUUAAGUGCCCACAGCAGAAGGAACCUGUGAUUCACCCUGGCACAACUUUACUCAUGAGAGAACAGCAGGGACAGCCACAGGACAAUUUUCUUCAAUCACAUUCUUGGGUACACAGAGACUUGCUCAUGCCCUUUGUUCAACAAGUUCUGGAGAUAUUCAGCAGAGCUGCCUGCUGUAGUGUCUUGCUUUGAGUGGGAGCUGAGCUGAAAGAAGUGAAUUCUUUCAUACAAAUCAGGAAAUAGCCAAUGUAGAAGUAACAUUCAGGUAAGUAUUCAUGAGGAGUAUCUGGAGAGGGCGAUGUGAGUCUUGGAUGUAUCAUUUAGAGGUCUCCAAACUUCAAAAUAUAAUGUGCAGUGACAGGUCAAAAAGCCAUCAAAAAAAUGGAUGUUAUUAUGAAUAGUAUGAGAGCAAGACAGAGGGCACCAUGUUGCCUCUAUAUAUAUGGUGCACCCACAAAGUGGACAUUGCAGUUCUGGUCUCCACAUCUCCAGCAGGACAUAGGAGAGUUAGAGAAGAGACACUGAAACUAUUAAGGUUUUGGAGCAUCUGCUUAGCCAAAAAACUGAAAGACAGCUUGGAGAAGGGAAGGCUGAAAGAACAUGUACUUGGGGAUUAGAAAACCAUGAAGGUGGUAGGUAAGGUGAAUGCUGAAUUGUUAUGCACCAAAUCCUGCAGUAUUAGGGGGAAUGCGUUGAAACUAGUAGAUUUAAAACAGACACAGAGCUUACACAAUGGAGACUGAGCUUCUGGGAUUUGUUGCCACAGGAGGCUGUGGGGGCAGACAGUAUCAGAAGACUCAAGAAGGUCCAUUAAAAACUACCAGAGGGAAUAGGCAGGGACAUAUCCUUUAACAACGUUAAUACAACAAUUGCAGAUGCAGGGGAUCUUGAAAGGAUAGGCUUGCAGAGAGCAGCCAGGCUCACAUUCUCUCUCCAAACAGUAUCUAUUGUUGCCAGUGUUGGAAUGAGAAGAAGGGGUUAGAAGAACCACCAGGGGGACUAUUCAGGAAGUGUCCUUAUGUGGUAGUGAGGCACUUCUGUCUAUGCUGUGGAAAGAACAAGAAAGUUCCUGAAGGUGAUUCAGAGCAAAAUAUAACUGCUCCUGCCCUGAGUCACCUUCAGAAAAGCCCAUCUCUUGCCACCCAUUUCAAAGGAAAUCUACCAUAGACAAAAGGAAGUCUUGUGAAUAACCAUGUUUAAUCACAACUGACACAGGUUGGGUUUGAACUGCUGCUCUAGAACAGAGAAAAUUGUCAUAUACAAAAACUUAAUCCAGACACCUCACAGUCAUUUUAGUGAGUGCUUUUAAGAGCAAAAACACUGUAUCAGAUUAUUGGUUAACUUUGAUCACAGGCAAUUGGAAACAUUUCCUCAGCCAGUGAUGUUGAAGUAUCACGUCAUGGUCUGGUUAAGAUGAAAAGUUAAGAAAACAUCUUCUGUAUACAUUAGACUGCUCUCUCAAAGCUGAAUCACUGGGAAAGACUGCCUCUGCUGUCUAGUUGCAAAGCUGGUCUGAAUUGCCCAGGUAUGGCCGGAUGUCCUAACAUUUUUGGGAAGUCUGCUGCAUGUCAGCAUCUGGAAACAGAAACAGGCUGUUAGACUGGAAUUGCCGGAUGACAUCUGACUCAGAAAGAGGGGUGAAAAUCAGGAGGUGAUUCUUUUAUGUCAAAGCCACCCCAGUAGAUUCAUUUGAGCUCUCCAGCUCAUAGACAUGAAAUAACAGCUUAAGGGACAGUUAGGUAUUUCAAUACCUGAUCUCUACAUACAAUGAGCUAUUUGGACAUGCAAAUAUAGACAAAUGUCUUUCAUCUGUAACUCUGGUAACAUAAAUUACCAGAGUUACAGAUGAAAGACAUUUUUAGGCACGUGCUGAAAAUCUGGUCAUCCUAGAGGAAAAAGUUGGUUGUUUCCAAACAUAUUCUGAGAUUCAGUAAUAGACAAGCACACAGUAUGAACUGCACAGAAUCUAAACUUUUCUUUUAAAUAUGUUCUAACUAAAAAGUGAAGCUAAGUAUAAAGGAAAAAAAUUACUGAGCUCUGGAAGCAUGCAUACUUGGUGUGUGUAUAUAUAUAUAUAUAUAUAUAUAUAUAAGCAAUCAGCUGAUUAAUCACUAAGUCCCUUGAAAUAGGUAUGUCACUUUUUUAACUUUGAAUAUAUGAGUGAGGAGUUUGCUGUUCAGGGUUACCAAAGAAAUGUGCAGUCAGGAUGCAAAUGGGAACGUACGGUGCUUCCUAAACUUUUCUUCCUACUUGAUAAAAUAUGUUGCUACCUUUACAUGAAAUGUAAAACACCAAGAUGCACAAAUCCUCAGACAAAAAAUGUUUAGAAUACAGUUAAUUGGUCUGUGGUUGAUCAUUUCAGUAUCUGUACUACUUCUCAGCUCAUCUCCUCCAUGAGUUUUCAGAUACUACCACCGGGACCAUUAUUCACUGAUUCAGUUUAGAAAAUUCUGUUUGUUUCCCUCUCAAGAAGUCUUUGUGAAAAUGACAAGUACAAUAUUAUUAUUGUUUGGACAAGAAAAUUAUUAGCUUUCAAGCUCUAUCUUUUGGUUAAUAAUGUUCAGAAAAGGCAUUUGAAUUGUCCAAGCUUGGGGAACAUUUUGGUAAUGUAAUAUCCAGCCUCUGCAGCUCCCCCUUGGAACUGUUGUCUUAGUGCCUGUAGGACAGAGAAGUUGAAAGCAACGUCAUACACCCCUUAUAUUAUCAGUGCAUAAUCUGUACAACUCACACCAAAAAAAAGUUAUUUUGAGGGAAAGAUCUCAAUGUAUCUGACCUUCUCUCUGAUCACCUGUAGUAAUAUCCUGGGCUGCACAAUGUGCUGUUUCUCUGUAGGGGUAAGAAUUCAAUUUACACUGGAAGUCUUUUCACAGAAGCAUUUCAGUUCAGUUGGUAAACAUUUCCAGGUGGCCAAGUAUAAUUUUAGGAAGGGCAAAUUUGCAGAGGUUAAACAGCAAACAGGACUGUUAUAAGUCUCUCUCAAUUUGAAAAAAGAAAAUGUAAUUAAACACAGCAUUCUCCCACAGAUGAACAAGAGGCUCGGGAUUCUCCACAACAUGUCUAAACUUAUUUGUGUUGUUGCUGGUAAAAUCCAUGCUCCAAAUAUGCAUAAGCUGCUUUUGUAAAGAUGUUCUUUAAUUUGCAAUUAAAAAAAAAAGAUAUCACAAUACUAGUAGAGGAGGCAGAAAAUGUGGAUCAUGCAGCUUUGUGUCGGAAAGACCACUGAGAUAGUUUUUGACCAGUUUUGAGUCUGAGAGUUUGUGCAUUAACAGAGAAAGGGAAGAGCUUGCUGCAGACCAAAAGAAACAUCAUGCAACCGUAAAAUGAAGCAGAAGAGUUAAAAUGGUGGCUUCUGUUCAGAAGUUCCACCAGAAGUGUCCUUUGUUUCAAGGGCUCUUUGUGCUGUCAGACACUGUUAGCCCCUUGUUAGUCACUGCUAGAGAAAAAAACCCUCAGCAGCACACAACGAAGUUUGGUCAGUUUGCUCAGCUGCUGUUGAUGUCACCCGUUGCCCACUAAGAGUAAGUUACUGUAAUAAUCCUCCCCUUUUAUUAAUCAUAACUUUAUGGAAAGCAAGAACUGAGUGACAUCACUGUUGAAGAAGACUGGCUAAAUCAUGCUCAUCUUUAGUCAGCUUUGCUAUAACAUCUCUUGUGUGUCACAUGAAAAUAAUUACUAGCUCUCACUUUCCAUGUCUGACCAAUCAUCCCCCUUUUCCCCCUUUAAGAGGCUACAAGUUUCUGCCUAUUUCAAAUAUCUACUGCAGAUGUAAUCUAUUCAGAGAUGAAAGAGAAUAUCUUUAACUGGAAAUUGGGACAUUCCAGGGGAUCCAUAUAAGAUGAAGUCACUUGCCAUAUAAAACAUUAGUGGUAUUUAUUAUAGUAAAACAUCCUCAUCCAUAGUAUAAUAUAUUGAAGUGUUUUAGACAGAGGCUAUUUCACACUCUUUGGGUGAUUACAGUAUUGGUAAGUUCCAAUAUACAUUUUCUGCACGUUUUUGGAUAACAUAAAAUAUU